GACGAACGCUGGCGGCGUGCCUAAUACAUGCAAGUCGAACGCAGUGGGGACGGGUGAGUAACACGUGGGUAACCUCCCAUCAGAGGGGAUAACACUUGGAAAUAGGUGCUAAACCGAUACUGAUGGAUGGUCCGGCGGUGCAUUAGCUAGUUGGUGGGGUAACGGAGCACCAAGGCCACGAUGCAUAGCCGACCUGUGAGGGUUACCGGCCACACUGGAACGGUGACACGGCCCAGACUCCUACGGGAGGCGGCGGUGGGAAAUCUUCGGAAAUGGACGAAAUUCUGACCGGGCAACGCCGCGUGGGUGAAGAAGGUGUUCGGAUCGUAAGACUCUGUUGUUGGAGAGGCGGUAUCUAACCAGAAAGCCACGGCUAACUACGUGCCAGCAGCCGCGGUAAUUC
rnacentral:rRNA from 1 species